UGAUCGGAAAUCAGGGGGGAUUACCCGCUGAACUUAA
rnacentral:rRNA from 1 species